UACGAAGGGGGCUAGCGUUGUUCGGAUUAACUGGGCGUAAAGGGUGCGUAGGCGGAUCUUUAAGUCAGGGGUGAAAUCCCAAGGCUCAACCUUGGAACUGCCUUUGAUACUGGGGAUCUUGAGUCCGGGAGAGGCGAGUGGAACUGCGAGUGUGGAGGUGAAAUUCGUAGAUAUUCGCAAGAACACCAGUGGCGAAGGCGGCUCACUGGCCCGGAACUGACGCUGAGGCACGAAAGCGUGGGGAGCAAACAGG
rnacentral:misc_RNA from 1 species